ACAGUCACGAGGAGCUGAAAAACGCUUUAAAUGAAAUGCAAAACAAAAUGGAAACCACCACGGCUCGGAUUGAAGAGGCAGAGGAGAGAAUAGGUGAAAUAGAAGAUAAAAUUAUGGAAAAAGAGGAAGCUGAGAAA